UUUUUAAGCUCCUACUGGCAAGGUGACCAGCCCUGAGACCCAGGGCAGCACAGUGAGGAGCUGCCAAUAGUGUGAGAUAUUCAGUGAGAACCCCAACUGAUGUCCUGCCUGACUCCUCAGGGCUCCAGCCUGGAAUAGCACCAUUAAGGGGAUGUCAGUGGUUUACUGGAGCAUAGCACAGGGAGCUUUCCUCACUCUCCAGGCUGGGCUGCAGACGGACACACUCCUCAGUGGGCUCUGAUAGAUGUUUCCAGGUUCAAAUAACGGAGCUCACAGGAACCCGUUCCUGUUCCUGCCCUGAGCUGAGUUUAUUAACCCGCUCUGUAAACAGCCACUGCACCUCUACCAUUCCCCCUCCUCUCUGGCAGCUGUUGGACAGAUGUGCAGGACACUGCCAGGCAAGAGGGGCAGUACUUCCAGGACUUUUAACCAGAGGGAACAAGAGGGCUGCGAUUAUUUUCUUUUAACUCUGGAAAUUAGGAGGACAAAAUGGUGACCUGUGACUCUAUCCCAAGAGGAAUCCUGAACUAACGGAGCAGCGGAAGGUGGGUAGUGAAGAGGCCAAAUGGUCCGAAUCGACUGCACCACAGCCAUCCCUGGGAGUGUUCAAAAAAUGUGUGGAUGUGGCCUUGACAGUGCUGGGGGAAUGG